rnacentral:lncRNA from 1 species
UGAGUUUUAUUUUGAUCAAGUCUUUGAGAAGGAAGAAGCUCCCAAGUAUGUUGAUAAAAUUCAGACAUUAUUAAAUAAUUUGCUGAAGAGCUACACGUCAGGUAACAUUUCAAAUGCAGAAAAUGUUAAAGAUAGUGAGGGACAAUCAACUAUCAAGUCAAAGCUUGAUUAUGAUGAUAGUGCUUUACUUUCUUUUAUUCAAAGUAAAAAG